AUUGAACGCUGGCGGCAGGCCUAACACAUGCAAGUCGAGCGGAUGAAGGGAGCUUGCUCCUGGAUUCAGCGGCGGACGGGUGAGUAAUGCCUAGGAAUCUGCCUGGUAGUGGGGGAUAACGUCCGGAAACGGGCGCUAAUACCGCAUACGUCCUGAGGGAGAAAGUGGGGGAUCUUCGGACCUCACGCUCUCAGCUGAGCCUAGGUCGGAUUAGCUAGUUGGUGGGGUAAAGGCCUACCAAGGCGACGAUCCGUAACUGGUCUGAGAGGAUGAUCAGUCACACUGGAACUGAGACACGGUCCAGACUCCUACGGGAGGCAGCAGUGGGGAAUAUUGGGCAAUGGGCGAAAGCCUGAUCCAGCCAUGCCGCGUGAGUGAAGAAGGUCUUCGGAUUGUAAAGCACUUUAAGUUGGGAGGAAGGGCAGUAAGUUAAUACCUUGCUGUUUUGACGUUACCAACAGAAUAAGCACCGGCUAACUUCGUG
rnacentral:rRNA from 1 species